UCAUUUUAUUUUUUUAAACCAACAGCUAUCUUCAUAAUUCAUAUAUAAGCAUGGUGUGAAAGAUUGCUGAUGAUCCUGAGAAGGAGCAGAGCCAUGUUUCCUAGUUCCAGCUUAUGCCCCUGAUAUGACAACUGAAAAUAAAAGCUCUAACUACUGAGUUUACAGAGGAGAAAACAUUAAAAAUGACUUGUUCAAGAUCAAGAAAGCACACUGAAAACACAGUCUUGUCCAAGAAGAAAGUGGCAGAAAGGCAUGAUGGUUCCAUCAGAGAGAAACACUGUUCACAAACUGGAUACUCUACUGUUUUAUUUUUAUCUGGUGGAUUCCUCAAUGAACAUGCAAGUUUUUUUUUUUUUUUACUUUCUUUGCACCUAAUGUUAUAUCCAUAUAUUUUGUAAUGCCAUUAAAUAUCUC
rnacentral:lncRNA from 1 species